rnacentral:rRNA from 1 species
AACGAACGCUGGCGGCAUGCCUAACACAUGCAAGUCCAACGAGACCUUCGGGUCUAGUGGCGCACGGGUGCGUAACGCGUGGGAACCUGCCCUUAGGUUCGGAAUAACUCCCCGAAAGGGGUGCUAAUACCGGAUAAUGUCUUCGGACCAAAGAUUUAUCGCCUUUGGAUGGGCCCGCGUUGGAUUAGCUAGUUGGUAGGGUAAAAGCCUACCAAGGCGACGAUCCAUAGCUGGUCUGAGAGGAUGAUCAGCCACACUGGGACUGAGACACGGCCCAGACUCCUACGGGAAGCAGCAGUGGGGAAUAUUGGACAAUGGGCGAAAGCCUGAUCCAGCAAUGCCGCGUGAGUGAUGAAGGCCUUAGGGUUGUAAAGCUCUUUUACCCGGGAUGAUAAUGACAGUACCGGGAGAAUAAGCUCCGGCUAACUCCGUG